rnacentral:rRNA from 1 species
UACGUAGGUGGCGAGCGUUGUCCGGAAUUACUGGGUGUAAAGGGCGUGUAGGCGGGAAUACAAGUCAGAUGUGAAAUACCGUGGCUUAACCACGGGGCUGCAUCUGAAACUGUGUUUCUUGAGUGUCGGAGAGGAAAGUGGAAUUCCCAGUGUAGCGGUGAAAUGCGUAGAUAUUGGGAGGAACACCAGUGGCGAAGGCGACUUUCUGGACGAUAACUGACGCUGAGGCGCGAAAGCGUGGGGAGCAAAC